AUAAUCUAAAAGUCUGUUAAAUUAAAGUACACGAAAUCAGUUGAGCUAAUUUUUAUAGCCUUUUAGGGUAUUGUAUUUAACGUAUUAUAGUUAAACUAAUAAUAAAAAUUAGGGGUGAAAGGCUUCUCAAAAUUGAGUAUAUCUUGAUACUAAGGAAAUAUAUUAAGUAUAAAAUACAAACUAAAAAUGGUGAGGUUUUUAGUAAAUAUAAUGUUAGGAGUUAUAUAGUUUUGGUUUUUAUAAUAAAUACCAAUUUUUUUCUUACUAAUAUUUAUUACUUCUUUUAUAUAUUCUAUACUUAGUUGUAUUCUUAAUACUUGUAUAUAUUAAUAAUGAUUAUAUUAGUAUUAGUAUUAAAUCUAUAUAAGGAACUCGGCAAUUUAAAUCUCAACUGUUUAUCAAAAACAUAGUUUCAAGAAAUUAUUUGAAAUAUAACCUGCUCAAUGAAAUGUUAAAUAGCCGCAGUACCUUGACUGUGCAAAGGUAGCAUAAUCAAUUGGCUUAUAAUUGAAGUCUGGAAUGAAUGGGAAAUUGGGGUUUUACUGUCUUAUUUAGAUCCCUAGAAAUUACUUAAUAAGUGAAAAUUCUUAUAAAUAAGAAAAUAGACGAGAAGACCCUAGAAAUUUUAAUAAUAGAUUACAUUUUUGUUGGGGCGACAAGGUAACAUAUAACUUACCUAACUAUAUGGGCAAUUUUAAUUUGGGUAAACAAAUUACUCUAGGGAUAACAGCAUAAUAUUAAAAAGAUUGUGACCUCGAUGUUGGACUAGGGAGUGUAUUACUUAAAAGGUAAUAUAAUAGGCUCUGUUCGAGCUUACACCCUACAUGAUCUGAGUUCAGACCGG
rnacentral:rRNA from 1 species